rnacentral:lncRNA from 1 species
GGGGCGGGGGCAGCGGCAGACCCCAGCAGAAGAUGCGGGGUGAAGCGCCCUCAACACAGGCUGGCCACUCUUUCUGAGCUUUUCCCCACUGACUUAAAACCUACCCAAAUCACUCCUGCCUUCAAAGACCUGGAAAAGAGUGCUGGAUGGUGAGACCCACAGGUGGAGGGAUGGCUGAGAGGGUGGACUUGCUAUGUGGCUGAGGCCAGGUGGACCAGAGGAAGUGGUAGGUGGACAGAGCCAGGUGCUGGCUGGCACCACCAGGCAGUGGCCGGUGCAGGUGCUAUGAGGAGGCGGGGAUGCCGAGGGGUCCUGACCUCUGUCCACUGCCACCCGGAGGGCCUGGAGGACAGAGUAAGGAGAUCUUGUCCUUGGGGCCAAUCCCCAUGCUGAUUUCCUGCCAGGCACUGAGGGCUCCUGGGGCCCAAGACCCACAGAAGGCUCAGAGCACACUCAAGCACUGGCCUCGAGACCAGAGCCACAAUGGGGACGGAGCCUAAAAUAAGCAUUUUAUUUAAUAAAAAA